rnacentral:rRNA from 1 species
UGAGGAAUAUUGGUCAAUGGGCGAUAGCCUGAACCAGCCAAGUCGCGUGAGGGAAGACGGCCCUACGGGUUGUAAACCUCUUUUGCCGGGGAGCAAAGAAGCCACGAGUGACUUUUGAGAGUACCCGGAGAAAAGCAUCGGCUAACUCCGUGCCAGCAGCCGCGGUAAUACGGAGGAUGCGAGCGUUAUCCGGAUUUAUUGGGUUUAAAGGGUGCGUAGGCGGAGAGCCAAGUCAGCGGUAAAAUCGUGGGGCCCAACCCAUCCCGCCGUUGAAACUGGCUUCCUUGAGUGGAUGAGAAGUAUGCGGAAUGCGUGGUGUAGCGGUGAAAUG